rnacentral:rRNA from 1 species
GUCGAGCGGAAUGACGAGAGCUUGCUCUUUGACUUUAGCGGCGGACGGGUGAGUAACACGUGGGCAACCUGCCCUACAGAUGGGGAUAACUCCGGGAAACCGGGGCUAAUACCGAAUAAUCAGUUUGUCCGCAUGGGCAAACUCUGAAAGACGGUUUCGGCUGUCACUGUAGGAUGGGCCCGCGGCGCAUUAGCUAGUUGGUGGGGUAAUGGCCUACCAAGGCAACGAUGCGUAGCCGACCUGAGAGGGUGAUCGGCCACACUGGGACUGAGACACGGCCCAGACUCCUACGGGAGGCAGCAGUAGGGAAUCUUCCACAAUGGACGAAAGUCUGAUGGAGCAAUGCCGCGUGAGCGAAGAAGGUUUUCGGAUCGUAAAGCUCUGUUGUAAGGGAAGAACACGUACGGGAGUAACUGCCCGUGCCAUGACGGUACCUUAUUAGAAAGCCACGGCUAACUACGUGCCAGCAGCCGCGGUAAUACGUAGGUGGCAAGCGUUGUCCGGAAUUAUUGGGCGUAAAGCGCGCGCAGGCGGUUCUUUAAGUCUGAUGUGAAAGCCCACGGCUCAACCGUGGAGGGUCAUUGGAAACUGGAGAACUUGAGUACAGAAGAGGAAAGCGGAAUUCCACGUGUAGCGGUGAAAUGCGUAGAGAUGUGGAGGAACACCAGUGGCGAA